UAAGGAGGAGCCCGCGUACCAUNAGCUGGUUGGUGGGGUAAAGGCCUACCAAGGCGACGAUGGUUAGCGGGUCUGAGAGGAUGAUCCGCCACACUGGAACUGGAACACGGACCAGACUCCUACGGGAGGCAGCAGUGAGGAAUUUUGCGCAAUGGGGGAAACCCUGACGCAGCGACGCCGCGUGGGUGAUGAAGGCUUUCGAGUCGUAAAGCCCUGUCAGAUGGGAAGAAGUGUAUGUGGGUUAAUAAUCUGCAUAUUUGACGGUACCAUCAAAGGAAGCACCGGCUAACUCCGUGCCANCANCCGCGGUAAUACNGAGGGUGCAAGCGUUGUUCNGAAUUACUGGGCGUAAAGGGCNCGUANGCNGCC
rnacentral:rRNA from 1 species